rnacentral:rRNA from 1 species
CCAAUAGCGUAUAUUAAAGUUGCUGCAGUUAAAAAGCUCGUAGUUGAAUUUCGGGACCAAUAUGUCGGUCGUGCCUCGGUACGUACUGGCAUCGUUGGUUUCUCCCUUCUGAAGAACCAUGAUGUCAUUUAUUUGGUGUCGUGGGGAAUCAGGACUGUUACUUUGAAAAAAUUAGAGUGUUUAAAGCAGGCUCACGCUUGAAUACAUUAGCAUGGAAUAAUGAAAUAGGACGUUUGAUUCUAUUUUGUUGGUUUCUAGGAUCGACGUAAUGAUUAAUAGGGAUAGUUGGGGGCAUUAGUAUUCAAUUGUCAGAGGUGAAAUUCUUGGAUUUAUUGAAGACUAACUACUGCGAAAGCAUUUGCCAAGGAUGUGUUCAUUAAUCAAGAACGAAAGUUAGGGGAUCGAAGACGAUCAGAUACCGUCGUAGUCUUAACCAUAAACUAUGCCGACUAGGGAUCGGAUGAUGUUAAUUUUUUAAUGACUCAUUCGGCGCCUUACG